rnacentral:tRNA from 1 species
GCAUUCGUGAUGCAGUGGUCAGCACGCUGGACGCGUAUUCUAGAUGUCCCUGGUUCAAGUCCCGGUGAGGGCA